rnacentral:lncRNA from 1 species
CUUGGGCCAAGCGGGGUGGCCGCUUUCAGCCUGGGGAGUGGAAUGGCCCAGAAGUGGGGGCUUCCUGUCUCUUAAAAGCCGGGUGUUAGUGGAAGGGUCUUCCCCUCCCGGUAUUUGGGGGUGGGGUCUGGACACACAUACACCCCCCCUCCCCUUUCCUAGUCUGCCUGGUGGGGACUGGGGAGCUGCUUCAGGGGCUUGGCUGGGUUGCCUGGUUGUUGUCCAGGAGACGUGUGGGGCUUGGCUCCCCCGUGCUCUGAGGGGUGUGUGUGGCCUUGGAGGCCCCUGGAAGCACCUGGCAGCCUGGUUUCUGAGCGGUGGCCUCCUUUCUGUGCUGACGCCUCUCCCUUCCUUCCUUCCUUUCUCUUUCCUGCUGCCAUGGAUCUCGUCCUUUCUCCUCUAGAGCGCUCCCGGCAGGAGGUGGAGAAAAACCAUCUCCUGGCCAGCGAACUGCAGGCUGUUCUGGACGGCCUCCACCACUGAGCUUGAGUGGCCCCCUGCCUGCCCUCUCCACCUCUACAGAGAGAGGGGGCUUCCUCUUAAGAAGGGUCAGGGGAGUGAUCGUGGGGGGUGGGAGACUGCCCUUCACUUGCCUGCUGGUGCCCCCCAGGCCUGUUCUCCUGCGCUCUGGCCUGUGUUGGCGUCGGAGCCCAGCCAGGCCUCCGGAGGCCGGGGCAGAGAGCUGCUCACGGCCCAGUGGGUCCAGGCCACGAUCCUGCUUGGUGCCGCCUCUCGCCUCUGCGUCUCUCUCUCUCUCUCUUCCGAGCUGCUGCUGUUCUUCAUGGAUUGGCACCCUCAGCUGAGCUCCACCACGAGAACCUGGCCCAGGCCAAAGAAGAGAACGUUGGCAUCCACCAGGUCCUCGACCAGACGCUGCUGGAGCUCAACAACCUCUGAGGGGCAGCCACAGCCCCGAGCCCACCUGCCCACCCGCACCGUUGCCCCACUGACACUUCCAGGAAAAGGGACACCCUCUGGCCCCAGGCCUUUGCUGGCCCCUGUGGGGCUCUGCCUCUGCACUGUCUCCACCCCUUCCCCCCCCCAGACAUUAAAGCAAGUUCAACAGCGACAUGGUCUUUGCGUCCACUUGUGGGAGAGGAGCAAUUGGGGGAAGGGGGGGAGGUUAAGGCACACUGGGCUGCAGCUGGAUGAGCCCCCCCCCAAUCUCCCUGGAGGACGCUGUGCCCUUUGUGGCCAGGAGAGAGGGGCGGGGCGGGGUGGGUCUGCCCUUGGGCA